AGUUUUGAACGGAACUUGCUGGUGCUUGGAUCGCAGUUCGGACGAUCACCGCGAAUCUAACAGUACCGACGCGCUCAAAUAUUUAUCACAAAAUACUAAACAUUAUUCGUGAAUUUUUUUUCUUGUUUUCCGUUGCGUAUUAUCUGAUUUUUUUUGGUGAUCCCUAUAUAUCGUUUAUUCAGAAUUUUGUAAAAGUGAUAUCUUGAUUGUUGAGCAGUGCUUGCAUAAAAUAAUUGGGACAGGUCCUGUUUCAUAGUCUGUACUUGGGAUCUGGUUUUAAAAAGGACCCUUUGGCAAUGUCCCAAACCCGAAGCAGAAUCCACGAGCCGGUGCAGCAGCCCCUGGUGCUCCUGCCAGUUCUGCUCCUCCUGCUGAUCGUCGGAAAAGCGGCGCGCGCAGAUCACGUAUCCCCGAACAAUAGACUCCCAUCGCAGCGCUUUUUCUACGCCGCCGCUGCGUCCUCGUCCUCCUCGCAGACCAAGGUGCGACUGCUCCGUCAGGCGGAUGAUCCAAAUGCGGCUUCGGAGCCAGUAGAGGGCAGCUGCUGUCAAGGAGCAGCCGCGGAAGCCGGAAAACCACUGACGCUUCCACUGAGCGUGUCCGCUGAGUUGAGCAACGUCACCGCCGAUUACGACGUGUCCGGCGAGAUCCCAUCCUCGAAGGAAAACUUUAAGCGCAGCAUCUCCAAAUCCACCGUAAGGAACGCGACGCCGGCCAGCUGCUCGCCGCAACCCACGAUCGUAGAGCUAAAGCCGCCUGCGGAGGACGAGGCGAACUACUACUACAUGCCCGCCUGCACGCGGAUAAGUCGGUGCAACGGCUGCUGCGGGUCCACGCUGAUCUCCUGCCAGCCGACGGAGGUGGAGCAGGUGCAGCUGCGCGUGCGCAAGGUCGACCGGGCGGCCACCACCGGACGCAGGCCGUUCACCAUCAUCACCGUGGAGCAGCACACGCAGUGCCGCUGCGACUGCCGCACCAAGGCGGAGGACUGCAACGUGUACCAGUCGUACCGCAAGGACCUGUGCCGCUGCGAGUGCCACAACACGGAUGCCAGGGACAAGUGCCUGGAGCAGGCCGAGAACAAGUACUGGGUCGACGACAACUGCACCUGCGUCUGCCGCUACAAUCAGAGCUGCACCACCGGCACCGUCUUCGACGAGACGCAGUGCAAGUGCACCGACAUAAAAAAUGUCGAGUAUUAUUCUUAGAGUCCACAAAACAAAGCACACACCAAACAGAAUUCUGUUCGAUUGAAAAAAUUAGACCGCUUAACUUUUUGUGAUAUUGUUACAUUAACGUUUUCGGAAAACUAACUUAAAAUUAGCGUAUUUUGCUUAGCAAUUGGUUAAGGAUAAAAAAUUAACAUACACAGCUGAGCUGAGGCAAAAUAAAGAGAUGGGAGUUUCAUUGUCCAGCCGCACCUAUUGAUGUUUUGGAACGCAAACGCUUUAUUGUCCAGGCCGUGCAGGUGGACCCCGAUAAUACCACCCUGUACAGUGUUUGAGUGUAGUUUACACGCUAAGGAGUACGAAGGAGAAACGCCAGCUUCCUAGAGGGGAAUCCCCAAGUUCUGAGAAAGCAAUUACGGAAUUGCACUAAGCGUAUUUGCCUAUGUACUUUAUAUUAUUUAUGGUUAUCGAUUAAACCUAGGCUAAGACUACUACUCCCUUAAAACUAACUCACAGUAUUUUUCCUUUGUAUCUGCGACACAAAAAACAAUAGAAGGGGUUUUGAGAAAAUCUCUAACAAUUCGAUGUCACUUGAAAAUGUGUUUAAAACUAGACCAUUAUAUUUAGACAAAAUAUAGAAAUGUAAUUUUAGAUGCAUUUUCAAAAAAUGUUAAGUCCCCAUAAAUUUCUGCGCAACCCCUGUAUAAUAGAAACUUUUAUUAAUUUGUUUAUAGUACUUUUUAAGCGCCUUCCACUUCAUUGCGGCCAUGUCCACAUUUGUUUAUUUCCGUUCGUUUAAGUUUUAAAUCAUUCAAAGCUAAUCGUCCACAAAUUUAACUCCAUUCUAUAAUUCGCCGUAAUUAAUUUGUAUGUAAUUUUUUUUUGUAUAAAAUGUUAGACCUAAGUUAACGUAAUGAAAAUACAGACAUAGUAUUGAAUUAUUAAAUAA